CCUACGGGAGGCAGCAGUGGGGAAUAUUGGUCAAUGGGCGCAAGCCUGACCCAGCAACGCCGCGUGAAGGAAGAAGGCUUUCGGGCUGUAAACUUCUUUUCUCAGGGACGAAGCAAGUGACGGUACCUGAGGAAUAAGCCACGGCUAACUACGUGCCAGCAGCCGCGGUAAUACGUAGGUGGCAAGCGUUAUCCGGAUUUACUGGGUGUAAAGGGCGUGUAGGCGGGACUGCAAGUCAGAUGUGAAAACCACGGGCUCAACCUGUGGCCUGCAUUUGAAACUGUAGUUCUUGAGUACUGGAGAGGCAGACGGAAUUCCUAGUGUAGCGGUGAAAUGCAUAGAUAUUAGGAGGAACACCAGUGGCGAAGGCGGUAUGCUGGACAGAAACUGACGCUGAGGCGCGAAAGCGUGGGGAGAAAACAGGAUUAGAUACCCGUGUAGUC
rnacentral:rRNA from 1 species